rnacentral:misc_RNA from 1 species
GGAGGGAUCAUUAGCGAGUAUAACUCUAAAACCAUUGUGAACGAACGAACCCGUUGCUUCGGCGGACGGCUUUGCCGCCGCCGGAAGAACGUAAACUCUUGUUAUUAUUGUUUCUCUGAGUACUUAUUCAAUAAGUAAAAACUUUCAACAACGGAUCUCUUGGUUCUGGCAUCGAUGAAGAACGCAGCGAAAUGCGAUAAGUAAUGUGAAUUGCAGAAUUCAGUGAAUCAUCGAAUCUUUGAACGCACAUUGCGCCCGCCAGUAUUCUGGCGGGCAUGCCUGUUCGAGCGUCAUUUCAACCAUCAAGCCCUAGGCUUGUGUUGGGGACCUGCAGCUGCUGCAGCCCCCUAAAAGCAGUGGCGGACUCGCUGUCAUUCCGAGCGCAGUAGUUACAUCUCGCUCUGGGUAUGGCGGCGUGCACUUGCCGUAAAACACUUUCUAAGGUUGACCUCGGAUCAGGUAGGAAUACCCGCUGAACUUAAGCAUAUCAAUAAGCGGAGGAAAAGAAACCAACAGGGAUUGCCCUAGUAACGGCGAGUGAAGCGGCAACAGCUCAAAUUUGAAAUCUGGCUUCGGCCCGAGUUGUAAUUUGUAGAGGAAGCUUCUGGCGCGGUGCCAUCCGAGUCCCCUGGAACGGGGCGCCAUAGAGGGUGAGAGCCCCGUAUGGAUGGAUGCCUAGCCUGUGUGAAGCUCCUUCGACGAGUCGAGUAGUUUGGGAAUGCUGCUCAAAAUGGGAGGUAAAUUCCUUCUAAAGCUAAAUAUUGGCCAGAGACCGAUAGCGCACAAGUAGAGUGAUCGAAAGAUGAAAAGCACUUUGAAAAGAGGGUUAAACAGCACGUGAAAUUGUUGAAAGGGAA